ACACCUACUCCAACAAGGCCAUACCUCCUAAUAGUGCCUUAAAUGAGUCAAGCAUAUUCAAACCACCACAGAGAGUUACAGGCAUAAACCAUCACACUUGGAGUUUUUAGUUUCUUUUUUGUUUUUUUUUUUUUCUUGUGACAAUCUCACUGUGUAGCCUUGGCUGUCCUUGCAGUCUCCGGCUAUAUAAACCAGGGUGGUCUUGAACUCACAGGCAUCAAUCUGCCUGCCUCUGCUUCCCACGUGCUGGGAUUAAAGGUAUGUGUCACCACACUAAGUUAGUUUCAAGACUAGGUUGGCCUUGAAUUUGCUUUAUAGCCCUGGGAGGCAUGAAGCUCUCAUCUUCUCCCUCUGCUGGGAUCGCAGGCAUGUAGCACCACCCCCAGCAACAUAUGCUUUUGAGCUAGUAUAUCAGGCAUUUCUAUAGCUACACUGAUUUUAGUUUUCUAUACUAUUAUGUACAUUAAAGUGUUGCAUAUAUGUACACAUGUGGGCCACUUCUAUGAAGGACAAACUACACUAGUCAAACACGCAUGAUGUGUUCCUUACAAUCUAAGAAGAGGGACUACAGGAUGAGUACCUCUCUUCCCCUUCUCUAUGCCAAACUUGUGACUUUUGGGCUUUAAAAGUAAAGUUUUACCGUGUGUGUGUGUGUGUGUGUGUGUGUGUGUAGGGAACCUCUGUACCAACUCAAUUCCCUUACUUUUAGGUUACUGAGACUCUCCCAUCUUAUUGAUGUCAUUACAGUUUGUUCCUCUUGUACAACAGUCUAUACGUUAAUGUCAUGUAAUUUCUUUACCCAUCUUACUGGCAAUAAAAAUCAAGAUGCAUGCAAUCUUUUCUUCUAAUGGAAUUUUGUUUUGUGUUAUUUGUUGUUUGAGACAGGAUCUAACUCUGUAGGACAGGCUAGCCCAGAAGUCACUUCGUAGCCCAGGCUGUCCUCACGCUCACAAUGAUCUUUCUUUGUCUUCUGGGGUUACACAGCUGUACCACCCCUAAAUGUCUUUUGCUCUUAUAAAUAUGAAAGAUUCUACAGGCUCCCAGGUACAUAUAGUAAGGACAUACUCAAGGACAUCAUUUUUCAAAUUCUUAAAAAUUAUAAUAUAUAUUUAUAUACACAUAAUGUAUUUUAUGGUCAUGAUAGAAAUUUACAUCACAAUCUGUAUACACAGAAUGUGUACAUCUUGGAAAUUGAUAGUUUGUGAAACAGAAAUUACCCUUAUUACAUUCCCUUGAGUUUUACUACUUUAUUGAGUUUUUUGUGAAAAACAUUGGCCAUGCCACAGGAAAAAAUGGUCAUGCCUACAAUCCUACCAUAGGGGAAGCUAGGACAAAGGUGAUUGCUCCAAGUUCAAGGCCACCAUAGCCUACAAAGCAAGUUCCAAGCAGGCCAGGGCUGGUAGUAGGUACCUAUUUCAAAAAACAAGCACAUGAGCUGGGUGUGGUGGUUCACGCCUUUAAUCUCAGCACUUGGGAGGCAGAGGCAGGCAGAUUUCUGAGUUCAAGGCCAGCCUGGUCUACAGAGUGAGUUCCAGGACCGGAGAAACCCUGUCUUGAAAAACAAAACAAAACAAAACAAAAAAAACAAGCACACUCUUAUCUGUGAUGUAGGCAUGGGGCUGUCCCCUUGAACUCUAGUUACUUGGAAGACUGUUGCAGAAGAAAUACUUGAGCCCAGGAACCAAGGUCAAGGUCAACAUCAAAAAAAAAAAAAACUUUCAAAAAAAGUUAAUUAUUGAUUGAUUCUACAACUCACUUAGAUAACAUGAGUUUUGUUUUUGUUUUUUAAUCACUUAAAAUCUAUAACCAAGGGGCUGGUGAGAUGGCUGAGUGGUUAAGAGCACCGACUGCUCUUCCAAAGGUUCUGAGUUCAAUUCCCAGCAACCACAUGGUGGCUCACAACCAUCUGUACAGCUACAGUGUGCUCAUACACAUAAAAUACAUAAAUACAUAAAUAAAUAAAUAAAUAAAUCUUUUUUAAAAAUCUAUAACCACCACUGGUGAGAUGGCUUAGGUAAAGGUGCCUGACAACCUGAGUCCAAUCCCUGGACCCUACAUGGUCAAAGCAGAGCAGGGGCUCCUGCAAGUCGUCCUCUGACCUGCUCGCUCACGCAAGGUAUGCACAGGCCCACACAUAAAUGCAAUAUUUAUCCAUAUAUCUGUCUCCAGGAAUGAAAUAGCUAAGCCUUAACUUCUUAAACCUUCUGUUUUACAACAAAAUUAAUUGCUUUCUGAAAUGGCUAUCCCAGUCUGUGCUUUCCCUAGCUGCAUAAAGAAAAAUCUUAGAGUUUUUAGAUCCACAAGUGGCAUUGUUAGCGCUCUGAAUUUUCCAAGUGUGACAUAGUUGGUUUGUAUCUUCUCAAAGGAAUCAUUGGCUCAGGUAUCAUUUCAAUUAUUUGCCUUCUUGUCCAUUUUUUCUUUUCUUUUCUUUUCUUUUCUUUUCUUUUCUUUUCUUUUCUUUUCUUUUCUUUUCUUUUCUUCCUUCCUUCCUUCUUCUCUUUCUUUCUUUCUUUCUUUCUUUCUUUCCUUCCUUCUCUCUCUCUCUCUCUCUCUCUCUUUCUCUCUCUCUCUCUCUCUUUCUUUCUUCCUCUUUCUCUCUCCUUCUUUUGUUUUUCUGUUUUUGAAACAGGACUUCAUUGUAGCCCAGACUGGCCUGUAGCUAAGGAUAAACUAGAACUCUUGAUCUUCUUCCCUCAGCCUCCCAAGUGCUGGGAUUGCCAGCAUAGGCCACUGUGCCCAUGUAUUUGCCCAUUUCUGUUGGAACCUGUUGAUACCUGUUGAAGAAUUAGCAUCACAUUUAACCCAGGGUCCAGUGGGAAAAUUAUUUCUUUGAGAGAUGAUGGAUUGAGAGUCAGGAGACUUCAUCUGAUCUUAAAGGCGUAGGCAGAAAACUAUGGCCUUGGUAUUUUCCUGUCUUGUAUGGCUUUCACUUUACCACAGAAACCGUCUAUCUGCCUUUGCCAGGAGUAAAUUAGCUCACCUCCUCAUUCCCUAUCUCAUUCUCCGAAACCCGAGCUGAACACCCUGUUCAUCCGCACCAGCACUGGGCUCCUGGGCUCUGCGGCUCUUCACAUUCCACAGGCUUCAUCUAAUACCGCCCCAAAUUGAGCCAGUUUUUGGUCUUUUCCUGCACCUCAUUCUCCCUCUGUAUUUUACGAAGAGGAGGGGAAACCACUGGCCACUGGGUGCUAGACAAUCAUAACAGCGCCUUUCCGAGAGCUGCCUUUGGCUCACUCAGCCCAGAGCAAUGAGGUCCCAAAGCUCUCUCUGGGCCAGGAGGGGCCUUCCAGGGCUUUGUGUGACAGUACAUUCUACAAAACUAUGUCACAUGUCACGCAGAUGAUAUUUAGGUAUGUGUUAUCUGUUGUGACCAGGCUGGCCCAGAACACACUUUAAGCACCCCAUGUUGAUCUCAAACAGAGGUAAUUCUUUUGCCUCCUGAGUGCUGGGAUACCAGGAUUCAGCCACUGUGGUCAGCUGGCUGUUCUAUUACUUAAAUAAGUAAUGGCCUAUUGACACUGGGAGCGUGCAUCCUGUAGGCUGGUUGUAUUGUCUGAAGCAAAGUUCAUUGUUGCCCGGGUUAAGCUUUGGUGGCAUUGUUGCUGAUAGCCACUAGAGCCUCCUUCCUGUAGAUCAGUAGUCAGGUUCCUUGGAGCCUGGUUUUUUUGAGGGGGAAGAGAGGAGUUUCACUUCCCAUCAAGCCUCAGUGUCAGCCUCUGGGAUUCCAUGGCAACGAGAGAAGGGAGGGUGAGUAGGUGGCCAGGGCUCUGGGCCCUCUCUGUCUCAGCCAGAACAUUUCUUUUGUUUUCUUUUGUUAUAAACAGAAUCCCAUGUAAAACUCAUGUAAAUACAGUUUUCCCCCUACAUGUGCCUACCACUGGGAUGGCUCACUGCGUGACUGACUUUUAAAACAGCCAGGGCCGUAGCUAGGGAGAAAAGGCAGGCUGAUGUUUGCCAAUGGCUUACCUCCUUUCUGAUAGACAUACCAUACAGCUCCUGACAAUUUUAGGCCUUUUCUCUUCUUUUCUGUUCCCAUUGUUGAUUCCUGCUCAAAGGCCCAUGAUUCCCCUGGGCAAGCUGGUGUAGUCAUCUAGUUCCUUAGUGUGGCGGACUGGGGGCUGUCUUCCUAGAUCAAUGCCUGGUUCUUCUGCAGUAAUGGACUUUAGCCAGCAUAUCGCUGCUCAGUGCCCGGCAGGAGACCUCUCUUCCAGCCCACGUCAUACUUGCAUGUGGCUGUAUAGCCGUGUUGUCUCCCAGGCACCAUGAGCUCAUGUGAUGGGUGCCUUUUCCACACCAUUUACUUAAGAAGAAAUUGCUCUUGCAGGAAUCUUCUCUGAAGCCAUCUGCCUACAAGCUUGAGACUUUAUGUGAUAAGGAGCCUGAAGUCUGAAGAAGAGAGAUCUGUCUGUCCAUUGAGCUCUAUAUGUGGCCACAUGCCACACGAAAUGUGGUGUCUAUUCCCAAGCUGCUCUACUAGCUGGCUCUCAGAGUCGUCAGACACCUCAGUCCCUUUACCACCAGGAAGUACCGUUGGGUCAGGACUGAAGAACAAGGAAAAGCUGGAACCUACCACUGGUGUCUUCUGUAGCUGAGUGUCUCCACUUUGAACCGAGUCUCCUGAGCUUGAAACGCAGAAAUUUGGGCCAACAAAAUGGCCCAGCAAGUAAAGGCACAUGCCACCAAGCCUGUGUCCAACUCUAAGGACCUACAUGCUGGGAGGCGAGAACCUGCACCCAGUGUGUCCUCUGACCCGCACAUCAGUUCCCUCUACCCCUCCCCUAAUAAAUAAAUAAUUUUAAUUUUCAUGAAAAGAC